UACGUAGGUGGCAAGCGUUGUCCGGAUUUACUGGGUGUAAAGGGCGUGCAGCCGGGCUGACAAGUCAGAUGUGAAAUCCCGCGGCUCAACCGCGGAACUGCAUUUGAAACUGUCAGUCUUGAGUACCGGAGGGGUCAUCGGAAUUCCUUGUGUAGCGGUGAAAUGCGUAGAUAUAAGGAAGAACACCAGUGGCGAAGGCGGAUGACUGGACGGCAACUGACGGUGAGGCGCGAAAGCGUGGGGAGCAAACAGG
rnacentral:rRNA from 1 species